GAUGAACGCUAGCGGCAGGCCUAAUACAUGCAAGUCGAGGGAGAAUGUUGGAUUCGUCUGACAUGAAACCGGCGCACGGGUGCGUAACACGUAUGCAACCUACCUUUAACUGGGGUAUAGCUCAGAGAAAUCUGAAUUAAUCCCCCAUAAGACUACGACAUGGCAUCAUGAUGUAGUUAAAGCUCCGGCGGUUAAGGAUGGGCAUGCGGUACAUUAGCUAGUUGGUGAGGUAAUGGCUCACCAAGGCUACGAUGUAUAGGGGGUCUGAGUGGAUGCACCCCCACACAGGGACGGAGCAACGGACCAGACUCCUACGGGAGGCAGCAGUAGGGAAUAUUGGUCAAUGGACGCAAGUCUGAACCAGCCAUGCCGAGUGAAGGAUGAAGGCCCUAUGGGUCGUAAACUUCUUUUAUUAGGGAAGAAAAAACGGGAUGCGUCCUGUACUGACGGUACUUAAUGAAUAAGGAUCGGCUAACUUCGUGCCAGCAGCCGCCGUAA
rnacentral:rRNA from 1 species